rfam:Elusimicrobia bacterium GWD2_63_28 gwd2_scaffold_49, whole genome shotgun sequence.
AUUCCUUGUAAUUUGGGGGAUUGGCCCCAGAGUAUCCACGAUCCGGCCGUAACCGGAUGUAUCCAGGGAAA